UACGUAGGGGGCAAGCGUUGUCCGGAAUUAUUGGGCGUAAAGAGCUCGUAGGCGGUCUGUCGCGUCGAUCGUGAAAACUUGGGGCUUAACCCUGAGCUUGCGGUCGAUACGGGCAUGACUGGAGUUCGGCAGGGGAGACUGGAAUUCCUGGUGUAGCGGUGAAAUGCGCAGAUAUCAGGAGGAACACCGGUGGCGAAGGCGGGUCUCUGGGCCGAUACUGACGCUGAGGAGCGAAAGCCAGGGGAGCAAACGGG
rnacentral:rRNA from 1 species